AUUGAACGCUGGCGGCAGGCCUAACACAUGCAAGUCGAGCGGAUGAGAGGAGCUUGCUUCUCGAUUCAGCGGCGGACGGGUGAGUAAUGCCUAGGAAUCUGCCUGGUAGUGGGGGACAACGUUUCGAAAGGAACGCUAAUACCGCAUACGUCCUACGGGAGAAAGCAGGGGACCUUCGGGCCUUGCGCUAUCAGAUGAGCCUAGGUCGGAUUAGCUAGUUGGUGAGGUAAUGGCUCACCAAGGCGACGAUCCGUAACUGGUCUGAGAGGAUGAUCAGUCACACUGGAACUGAGAAACGGUCCAGACUCCUACGGGAGGCAGCAGUGGGGAAUAUUGGACAAUGGGCGAAAGCCUGAUCCAGCCAUGCCGCGUGUGUGAAGAAGGUCUUCGGAUUGUAAAGCACUUUAAGUUGGGAGGAAGGGUUGUAGAUUAAUACUCUGCAAUUUUGACGUUACCGACAGAAUAAGCACCGGCUAACUUCGUGCCAGCAGCCGCGGUAAAAC
rnacentral:rRNA from 1 species